CCCCUAGACGUUCUGGGCUGCACGCGCGCUACAAUAAUACGCACAGCGAGUAUCACCGAGCUCGAAAGGGCAAGGUAAACAAUAGAAAAGGUACUGUAAUGGUUAUAGAUCCUUGUAAUUAUUGAUCUUCAACGAGGAAUUCCUAGUAAGUAUGUGUCAUCAUCACGCACUGAUUACGUCCCUGCCCUUUGUACACACCGCCCGUCGCUACUACCGAUGGAGUGUUUUAGUGAGGCCUCGGGACCGGUCCUGACUGGCAUUGCCUGACGGACUGGGAACUUGGUCAAACUUGAAUACUUAGAGGAAGUAAAANUUGUAACA
rnacentral:rRNA from 1 species